rnacentral:sRNA from 1 species
UUGAGAGCUGUAAAGACUGGACUCCUCUAUUUAUCUGCUGAACAUGUACAGCACAGACAUCCCCACUGUCCUGGGGUGGCAAGGGCAGUCUCCAUGGCUCUUUCAGUCUUUGCUCCCAU